GGACACAGAGAGAGACACGGAGCUGCUUUCUCCGGCAGCGGCUGCGAUCGGCUUCAGAGAGCGGCGCUCAGAGCCGGUGUGUGGGAGCCUCGCUGGGAGAAAGGAGCGGAGAGAAUUCAACAGUCCAGGAAAAAGGUACUGAAGGAGUUCCUGAUUCAGUAGACUUGCCAACUGCUGGUUGCGAAGAUGAUUGGUCAGUCAGAGAGACAAAGGUCAGGGAGUUCAAGAUCCUUCGAUCAAUCCUGUCACCAGCUACUCCAGAUCCUGAGCCAACAGAAUCCUCCUCUCCAGAGAGAUGAAGCAGGACAGGCCAGGGAUGGAGACUAGGAUUUUCCAGGUCAGUAUGGCAGUUAUUACCAUUCUGCAUGUGUUUCCUU